CGCGGUAAUACGUAGGUGGCAAGCGUUAUCCGGAUUUAUUGGGCGUAAAGCGAGCGCAGGCGGUCUUUUAAGUCUAAUGUGAAAGCCUUCGGCUCAACCGAAGAAGUGCAUUGGAAACUGGGAGACUUGAGUGCAGAAGAGGACAGUGGAACUCCAUGUGUAGCGGUGAAAUGCGUAGAUAUAUGGAAGAACACCAGUGGCGAAGGCGGCUGUCUGGUCUGUAACUGACGCUGAGGCUCGAAAGCAUGGGUAGCGAACAGGAUUAGAUACCCUGGUAGUCCAUGCCGUAAACGAUGAUUACUAAGUGUUGGAGGGUUUCCGCCCUUCAGUGCUGCAGCUAACGCAUUAAGUAAUCCGCCUGGGGAGUACGACCGCAAGGUUGAAACUCAAAAGAAUUGACGGGGGCCCGCACAAGCGGUGGAGCAUGUGGUUUAAUUCGAAGCUACGCGAAGAACCUUACCAGGUCUUGACAUCUUCUGCCAACCUAAGAGAUUAGGCGUUCCCUUCGGGGACAGAAUGACAGGUGGUGCAUGGUUGUCGUCAGCUCGUGUCGUGAGAUGUUGGGUUAAGUCCCGCAACGAGCGCAACCCUUAUUACUAGUUGCCAGCAUUCAGUUGGGCACUCUAGUGAGACUGCCGGUGACAAACCGGAGGAAGGUGGGGACGACGUCAAAUCAUCAUGCCCCUUAUGACCUGGGCUACACACGUGCUACAAUGGAUGGUACAACGAGUCGCGAAACCGCGAGGUUUAGCUAAUCUCUUAAAACCAUUCUCAGUUCGGACUGUAGGCUGCAACUCGCCUACACGAAGUCGGAAUCGCUAGUAAUCGCGGAUCA
rnacentral:rRNA from 3 species